rnacentral:rRNA from 1 species
UACGAAGGGGCUAGCGUUGCUCGGAAUCACUGGGCGUAAAGGGUGCGUAGGCGGGUCUUUAAGUCAGGGGUGAAAUCCUGAAGCUCAACUCCAGAACUGCCUUUGAUACUGAAGAUCUUGAGUUCGGGAGAGGUGAGUGGAACUGCGAGUGUAGAGGUGAAAUUCGUAGAUAUUCGCAAGAACACCAGUGGCGAAGGCGGCUCACUGGCCCGAUACUGACGCUGAGGCACGAAAGCGUGGGGAGCAAACAGG